rnacentral:rRNA from 1 species
AUUGAACGCUGGCGGCAGGCCUAACACAUGCAAGUCGAACGAGUGGCGGACGGGUGAGUAAUGUCUGGGAAACUGCCUGAUGGAGGGGGAUAACUACUGGAAACGGUAGCUAAUACCGCAUACCAUCGGAUGUGCCCAGAUGGGAUUAGCUAGUAGGUGGGGUAACGGCUCACCUAGGCGACGAUCCCUAGCUGGUCUGAGAGGAUGGCCAGCCACACGGGAACUGGGACACGGUCCAAGCUCCUAAGGGAGGCAGGAGUGGGGAAAAUUGCACAAAGGGGGCAAGCCUGGUGGAGCCCAGGCGCGGGUAUGAAAGAGGCCUUGGGGUUGUAAAGGUCUUUCAGGGGGGAGGAGUUAACCGCAGAAGAAGCACCGGCUAACUCCGUGCCAGCAGCCGCGGUAAUUC